rnacentral:tRNA from 1 species
AUAUAGUUUAACAAAAACACUAGAUUGUGAAUCUAGAAAUAAAUUCAAUUUUAUAGACC